rfam:Desulfotomaculum hydrothermale Lam5 = DSM 18033, WGS project CAOS01000000 data, contig: ABX_2590_3
UGUCGAAGCACCGGUUACAGCACUUGAUGAGCGAAAGGAGCCGUUGGGGUGGCGCUCACAGGAUGUGGGCACCAGCCGAACCGGGCCAGGAGGGCCCGUUUGAGGCGACCCCAAGGGCGACCGUAGCGAAUCAUAGUGCUGUCGGUGCGUAGAUC